GACGAACGCUGGCGGCGUGCCUAAUACAUGCAAGUAGAACGCUGAAGAGAGGAGCUUGCUCUUCUUGGAUGAGUUGCGAACGGGUGAGUAACGCGUAGGUAACCUGCCUUGUAGCGGGGGAUAACUAUUGGAAACGAUAGCUAAUACCGCAUAACAAUGGAUGACACAUGUCAUUUAUUUGAAAGGGGCAAUUGCUCCACUACAAGAUGGACCUGCGUUGUAUUAGCUAGUAGGUGAGGUAAUGGCUCACCUAGGCGACGAUACAUAGCCGACCUGAGAGGGUGAUCGGCCACACUGGGACUGAGACACGGCCCAGACUCCGACGGGAGGCAGCAGUAGGGAGUCUUCGGCAAUGGGGGCAACCCUGACCGAGCAACGCCGAGUGAGUGAAGAAGGUUUUCGGGUCGUAAAGCUCGGUUGUAAGUCAAGAACGGGUGUGAGAGUGGAAAGUUCACACUGUGACGGUAGCUUACCAGAAAGGGACGGCUAACUACGUG
rnacentral:rRNA from 1 species